rnacentral:lncRNA from 1 species
GUGCUCAUGUUUGUCUUCAAUAGUAUGUUUGUCCUCAAUGGUACAGAUCCAGUUUUCAUGCUAUGUAAUAUUAUUAUAUGGAGUUGGACCUCAAGAUUGUUUUAAGGUAUAUGAUUCAUUUUUAAUGUCUUGGAAUGAUGCACGUGAAUCAAUUUUGGCAUACAAUAUUAGCAUAAUAUUUCAGACAUAUUUAAGCAUCGUUUUAGGCAUAUUUUAACAUGCUACUUCAUUAUAAGAUUUGAAGUUUCUUUCCUUCCAAAUUAUGGAUUAUGUGAAAUAAGGAUUAAUAUUAAACCGAGUGCACAUGAAAGCAUGGUUUGUAAUUUAUUUCUAAAUGACCUUAUAAGAGUUUUGGUUAAAACAGAUUUAUGUCUUUCUGGAUCAUGAAUUCAGCGUUAUCAUGAACUCAGUUUGGCCUAAUGAUUUUAUAUUUUUAUUAUAUAGUUUGAUUUCUUUUGAAAUUAAAAUUGAUUCACUGAAUUUGUACAUAAAGUUAAUUUUGAGAAAUAGACAAACAGAGUUAAUAUAUAUUUGGUUCUCAUAUAUUAUUUAUAAAAUUUAUUGUCUCUUUUGAAUAGUGUUUAACAACACAUCUCAGAAUAUUAUAUGGAGUCUAGAGCUGUUUGUAUAAAGAAUUGUAUUACAUGAUUUAAAGAUUUGAUUCUUCUAGCUUUGGAAAAUAUGGAGUCUAGAGCUGUUCUCAUAAAGAAUUGUAUUACAUGAUUUAAAGAUUUGAUUCUUCUAGCUUUGGAAAAUAUGGAGUCUAGAGCUGUUUGUUUAUUUUUUUUAAGCAUAUAAAGAUUUGUCAUACACACAUUGGUGUGAUUUGUGACUUUCAUUUUUUAACAUGAAAAGUGUAAUAAAUUGUCUUCUUCUACGUGAAUUUAGGAUCUUGGGGAAAUAUAAAACACUGUUUUAGGAGGAAUCUUACGUAAAUCUAGAAAGAUAAUAUAAUAACAAUACACACACGUAAAUCUAGAAAGAUAAUACUCCCUCCCUAAUUAUAAGAUCCUUUUGAGAAUUUUUUUUGUCCCUUUUUAUAAGACCCCUUUGUUAUUUCCAACUACAUUAAUUAUUUCUUUACAUACAUGCCCCUAUUUAUUAUACAUCUUUUUCUUCAAUCAGCAAUAAGUAGCAUAUGGAAAACAUAAACUAACUCUCUAUCUUAAAGAUAAAAUUGUAAAAACAAUAGUGAUUACAAACAACUUUAAUACAAAUAUCCGUUUUCUUAAUUCCCGUGAUUUUAGCAAAAGGGUCUUAUAAUUAGGGAUGGAGGGAGUAUAAAACAUGUUUUAGGAGGAAUCUUACGUAAAUCUAAAAAGAUAAUAUAAUAAAGAUUAGAGUGUGUAAUUCAAACAUCUUUUAAGAGUGGGAGCGUAAUUUACUCUUAUAAAAAACAAAAAUAGAUUGAAAUUGAUUAGUUUUUAACAUGAAAAGUGUAAUAAAUUGUUGGUGCCUUUAACUUAACUUCUGAUCCGUGAAUUUAGGAUCUUGGGGAAGGUGAAGUUUAAUAUGGGAAAAGAAAGUUCUAUCCCAUGAUGGGAAAGUUCAACCACAACCAUAGAUAAAAUAAUUUUUUAUGUGGAUGGCUAGGAUCAAUUACCUGCUAAUGGCUAUUACUUUUUGUUGUGUAUUGUGCAUCAAAAAUGUGGACCCCAUGAGGCUGAUUUAAUAACAUAUUUUCAUUUGUUU